rnacentral:rRNA from 1 species
GAUGAACGCUAGCGGGAGGCCUAACACAUGCAAGCCGAGCGGGAUUUGAGACUAGCUUGCUAGUCUUAAUGAGAGCGGCGUACGGGUGCGGAACACGUGUGCAACCUGCCUUUAUCUGGGAGAUAGCCUUUCGAAAGGAAGAUUAAUAUCCCAUAAUAUAAUGAUUGGCAUCAAUUAUUAUUGAAAGCUCCGGCGGAUAGAGAUGGGCACGCGCAAGAUUAGAUAGUUGGUGAGGUAACGGCUCACCAAGUCGAUGAUCUUUAGGGGGCCUGAGAGGGUGAUCCCCCACACUGGUACUGAGACACGGACCAGACUCCUACGGGAGGCAGCAGUGAGGAAUAUUGGACAAUGGGUGAAAGCCUGAUCCAGCCAUCCCGCGUGAAGGAUUAAGGACCUAUGGUUUGUAAACUUCUUUUCUACAGGGAUAAACCUACUCUCGUGAGAGUAGCUGAAGGUACUGUAGGAAUAAGCACCGGUUAACUCCGUGCCAGCAGCCGCCGUAAAAC